UACAGAGGUCCCGAGCGUUGUUCGGAUUCAUUGGGCGUAAAGGGCGCGUAGGCGGCAAUUCAAGUCAGGUGUGAAAUCUCCGAGCUUAACUCGGAACGGUCAACUGAUACUGUUUUGCUAGAGUACAGAAGGGGCAAUCGGAAUUCUUGGUGUAGCGGUGAAAUGCGUAGAUAUCAAGAGGAACACCUGAGGUGAAGACGGGUUGCUGGGCUGAUACUGACGCUGAGGCGCGAAAGCUAGGGUAGCAAACGGG
rnacentral:rRNA from 1 species